UACGGAGGGAGCUAGCGUUGUUCGGAAUUACUGGGCGUAAAGCGCACGUAGGCGGCUUUGUAAGUUAGAGGUGAAAGCCUGGGGCUCAACCCCAGAAUUGCCUUUAAGACUGCAUCGCUUGAAUCCAGAAGAGGUGAGUGGAAUUCCGAGUGUAGAGGUGAAAUUCGUAGAUAUUCGCAAGAACACCAGUGGCGAAGGCGGCUCACUGGCCCGAUACUGACGCUGAGGCACGAAAGCGUGGGGAGCAAACAGG
rnacentral:rRNA from 1 species